rnacentral:lncRNA from 1 species
CUUGUCUGAUUUUUUAAUAGGGUCUUACUGGACAGAGCUCAUUCAGACUAUGACAGUGUGUUUCACCAUCUGGAUUUGGAAAUGCUUUCCUCACCACAACAUUCUCCAGUCAAUCAGUUUGCCAAUACCUCAGAAACAAAUACCUCGGACAAAUCUUUCUCUAAAGACCUCAGUCAGAUACUAGUCAAUAUCAAAUCAUGUAGAUGGCGGCAUUUUAGGCCUCGGACACCAUCCCUACAUGACAGUGACAAUGAUGAACUCUCCUGUAGAAAAUUAUAUAGGAGUAUAAACCGAACAGGAACAGCACAACCUGGGACCCAGACAUGCAGUACCUCUACGCAAAGUAAAAGUAGCAGUGGUUCAGCACACUUUGCAUUUACAGCCGAACAAUACCAGCAACAUCAACAGCAACUGGCACUCAUGCAGAAACAGCAGCUUGCACAAAUUCAGCAACAGCAAGCAAAUAGUAAUUCCUCCACCAACACAUCACAGAACCUUGCAUCUAACCAGC